UCGAGAAUUUUUCUCAAUGGGCGAAAGCCUGAAGGAGCGACGCCGCGUGGGGGAUGAAGGGCUUCGGCCCGUAAACCCCUGUCAUUUGCGAACAAACCUUUCCGUUGAAUAGGCGGAAAGCUGAUUGUAGCGAAAGAGGAAGGGACGGCUAACUCUGUGCCAGCAGCCGCGGUAAUACAGAGGUCCCAAGCGUUGUUCGGAUUCACUGGGCGUAAAGGGUGCGUAGGUGGCGAGGUAAGUUCGAUGUGAAAUCUCCGGGCUCAACCCGGAAAUGGCAUUGAAUACUCUCUCGCUAGAGGGUUGGAGGGGAGACUGGAAUUCUCGGUGUAGCAGUGAAAUGCGUAGAUAUCGAGAGGAACACCAGUGGCGAAGGCGAGUCUCUGGACAACACCUGACACUAAGGCACGAAAGCUAGGGGAGCAAACAGGAUUAGAUACCCCCGUAGUCC
rnacentral:rRNA from 1 species